UAUAAGUAUAUAUACUUAUAUAGUAUACUAUACUAUACCAUAUACUUUUCAAUUCGACAAGUUUAAGAUUAAAACAAGAUCGCAGAAUUAAAAGUUGGAUACGACUGCAAUGUCUUUUUGCAAUUAACCCUUUUACGGCAGCGGCAUUAAGAUUAUACAGCCAUUAUACAGCCAUUAUACAGCCAUUAUACAGCCAUUUACACAUACACAAACUGUUGUUGUUAAGCAUCCGAGCAAUAAUGCAAUAGGAUACCGUAUAAAUUAUAUUAAUUAGUACUUAUUGUUAUUACUGAGUGUUAUAUACAUACAUAUAUGUACUUAUAAUAUUGUUAGUUUUUAAGUCAUUCGUGUACAUAAUUAUUACUAUACUAAAGAUAAUUGAAUUUCGUUUACACUUUACCGAUAGAGAUGCGAUAGUGUAGAUGUAGAUACUGAAACAAUGGUAAUUGACGUAUUGAUGCUCUUGUGACAAUAUAAUAAGUUAAGUGCGUAAACAGAAUGAUCGAGGGAUAUAAAGAUUGAACACGAUUGAACAAAUGUAUGUUACGAUUUAUAGAAAUAUCAUUUCUACAAAAAUAUAAAAAAAAAUUAAAUAUACUGCAUGUCGAUAAAAUAAUAGUAGAGCAUGUGCGUUUAUCGAGCCUACAACCAUUUAUUUUAUAUAGUUAAAUGGUGAAAGUAAUCGACACUAUUUAAUACAUAUGUAGCUAUGUAUAGUAAUGUAUGUACAGGUUAUAUACAGGCGACCUAAAAACACGUCAAGCGGAUGAGUGGCGGUUCUUUGUGGAGAGAUAAGAGAGAAGUAUACAGUACAAUUUGUUCGUUCGGGGCUUUGUUUUCGAAAAAAUCAAGUUUGAAUAUUCAUCAAGCAUAAUUGGACAAAUUCCGGCCUGGACAGAACUAAAUAAUGGACAGGGGGUCAUUCUAUGUGUGAAAAGAGCGAAGGAUUCGCGGCUUUAUCGUUAAAGUGUUUACCAAGAACUGUUCCCCGAACCGUUCCGACUAAAACUGCAGUCAUCGAGAUCUCAACUAUAGCACCUUCGUAACUUGGCAAACUUCCACGACCAACGAAUAUCAACGAACAGUCAUAGGGUCGAUUUAAAAAUAGGAUGGUGGCUCGUCCUUAAAGCCCACGUUACUUAAAUACAGGUUUUCACACAAGAAAUCACGCUUCGGGAAAAACAUGUUUAGUGUUAAGAACGCUUUUUAUAACACACCGUAUUUGUUGAAGGUUGAAAGACGAAUAAACUUUAAAGAGUAGGUUUUCCUAUCUAUAUCGGUUUUCGUUUCAGAAUUAUAAUAAUACACUCUGUAUACAAAUGCUAUAUACAAAUGCCAUACGUUAGUUUCUAAAAAUUAAUUUUAUCGUAUCUUAAUAUGGCGCAUCCACAUGUACCUGCUUAUAAUCGUGAUAAUAAAAUUAAAGUUUAGUUUUCUAAUUAAAUUACACGCUAUCGAAGAUAAGUAAGAGUUCGAAUACUUUUGAGCGAUUGUUGAAUAAUAAAGCGAUAUUUAAUUUUAAAUAAUAUAGUUCUCUUUGUAAUAUGUAUAUAUAUGUGUAAAAAGUAUCAGGAUAUAUAAAAUAAUCACGUGUAAUAUCAAAAGCUUUUAAGAAAGUAUUAUUCCUAAUAUGUUUGUACCUAAAUACGAAAAGCGAAAAAAUUGUCAAAUCAUUUUCAAUGAAAGUAGAAUGAAAGUAAAUUGCAAAGCAGAAAACGAAUGGAAUGCCUGAAACCUUACGACUAAGGGCGACUAGGGUAAAACGAACCAUAUGGUCGGUCAAAUAUAGCAAACUCAAAAUUCGCCGGCACGAGUAUAAACGGGUGCUGUAUAUUCAAAUUAUGGAGUGACCCUUCUCGAAAACUUGACGAAGGGGAAAGGAGGAAUUACCACGUACAAACCAGCAGGCUUGCUUCUCUAAAAAUCAAUAGCGCUGCUUCAACCUGGUAUACGCUGAUUAGUAAAGCUAGCAAAAUUCGCUCCAAAAAUAUUAAUUUCCCAUUAACUUUUUACUGAAUAAAUAUUACUCCAAGUAUCGCUUUUAAAUUUUGAGAAAAAGAUAUCACGAAAGACGCGAAAGAUACGGAUAAUACGUAACGCUACUGCUCCAAAAGUAUCCUAUUGUAGUAUCGUAACUACUUUAAUUAGUUUAUUAAUGAUAAGUAGAUUGAACAGGUGUUAAUUGAACAGAGAAUAAUGUUAAACAUGAACGAAUCGCAGUAAACGUAUAAUAAUUAACACAACUGAAUAAUUAAUCAACGACUCUCAUCAACGCAAUCCGCACUCUCUGACAUCUCAACUCAUACUGCUGUUAAUUCGUUUAUUGUCCCCUAGCAACCCCUUGUCUUUUGUCUUAGCCUUACUACAUACACGCUCAGCAACCGCUUGUUUAUAAUCCGCACAACACCCCCCAUACCCCUCAUCCAUGA